CCGAAACGUCGGCCAAAACAAAGAAUACACAGUGCCUAAACCCAGAAGACGACUUUCUUACACUAAUAUCUUGUCUCCUUCAUCUAAGUUUUGCUAGCUGAUUUUAAUUCUAAUAACCAGCAUGAACAUUUCAUGAUUGUAUAUGAAUAUACCCUUUGGAAUAUUUCCAUUUUAUCCUUUUUCCAGACGAUAACGACGUUGUGUUGCCACAACUGGAUAUAAGAAGCUUAAUAAUUCGUUUAUCAUAUUAUCUCAAGCCACAAAUAUUCUGAUGUAUUUUCAGAGAAUGAUGUAUAACAGGCAUUUUUCUCAUAUGCUUUACUGAUGUAUUUUCAACAGUCUCAACUGAAGUCAAUGGAAAAAGUUGAUUUACAGAAGAACUAAUUGUUCAAGGUUGAACUUCAUGAUAUCUGAGCGCUAUGAUAUUUGUGCUGAGAUUAUUUUCCUUCUCUACAAGAUGAAAAAUCUGAAGAACUAAAUUGAAUGAUAGUAUUUCUUUACCCAGAUCAUGCAAGUGUAAUCCAUGUUUAAUACACAAAUGUCUAUUUUAAUUUACUUCCAUCACACUGAGAUGUGGAAAUAGUUUGUUGACCUUUAGUAAUUUUCUAUUAAAAUUAGUAAUUUCAUUGAGUAAUAUUAGGACCUUUUGUGUAAUGCCUAUAAGGGACUGUUAAAAGAAUCACAUUCAUAUGAGUGACUCUUAAUGAAUUCAAUAAAAUCAUUAAAAACCAUA